rnacentral:rRNA from 1 species
CAGGGAUUGCCUUAGUAACGGCGAGUGAAGCGGCAACAGCUCAAAUUUGAAAUCUGGCCCUUAGGGUCCGAGUUGUAAUUUGUAGAGGAUGUUUUUGGCACGGUGCCUUCCGAGUUCCCUGGAACGGGACGCCACAGAGGGUGAGAGCCCCGUAUGGUUGGACACUAAGCCUCUGUAAAGCUCCUUCAACGAGUCGAGUAGUUUGGGAAUGCUGCUCUAAAUGGGAGGUAAAUCUCUUCUAAAGCUAAAUACUGGCCAGAGACCGAUAGCGCACAAGUAGAGUGAUCGAAAGAUGAAAAGCACCUUGAAAAGGGGGUUAAACAGUACGUGAAAUUGUUGAAAGGGAAGCACUUGUCACCAGACGUGCGCCGGGCGGUUCAUCAGAGGCUUUGCCCCUGUGUAUGCCGUCCGGUUCAGGCUAGCAUCGGUUUUCGCUGGGGGAGAAGAACAGUUGGAACGUGGCUCGCCUUCGGGGGAGUGUUAUAGCCUUCUGUACGAUGCCCUGGCGGGGACUGAGG